AGUGAACGCUGGCGGUAGGCCUAACACAUGCAAGUCGAACGGCAGCACAGUAAGAGCUUGCUCUUACGGGUGGCGAGUGGCGGACGGGUGAGGAAUACAUCGGAAUCUACUUUUUCGUGGGGGAUAACGUAGGGAAACUUACGCUAAUACCGCAUACGACCUACGGGUGAAAGCAGGGGAUCUUCGGACCUUGCGCGAUUGAAUGAGCCGAUGUCGGAUUAGCUAGUUGGCGGGGUAAAGGCCCACCAAGGCGACGAUCCGUAGCUGGUCUGCGAGGAUGAUCAGCCACACUGGAACUGAGACACGGUCCAGACUCCUACGGGAGGAACCAGUGGGGAAUAUUGGACAAUGGGCGCAAGCCUGAUCCAGCCAUACCGCGUGGGUGAAGAAGGCCUUCGGGUUGUAAAGCCCUUUUGUUGGGAAAGAAAAGCAGCAGGUUAAUACCCCGCUGUUCUGACGGUACCCAAAGAAUAAGCACCGGCUAACUUCGUG
rnacentral:rRNA from 1 species